UCGUUCUUUGUAAUUUAAUUUUAUACAAUGAUCAAUUCUUUGUGCACAGGAUUGGGUACAGUAUGAUUGCUGAUGCAGAGGAGAGAGGGCUUAUCCAACCUGGGAAGGUAAGCCAUUUUUCAUUUUAAUUAAUCUGUUUCAUCAAUUAUAAUUGAAGCAAAGGCUGGCAAACCAAAAUCCAAAAUAUACACAAUGCAUGAUCUUUGAGGAAAUCAAUGAGCUGUAGGUUAUUACCUGUGUCUUUAACAAUUUCGUUUACAGAAGAAGAUUUGCCAUAAAUGGAAGCCAUAAGACAUGCCAUCUAUCUUGCUUUUACAAAUUACAUUGUAGAUUAUAUGUUCUAAUUAUAUAGGGCAUUGCAACUUAUUGUUCUUAAUUCAAAUACUUGAUAAUUGGAAAUGGCUGA
rnacentral:lncRNA from 1 species